CAGCAGCCGCGGUAAUACGUAGGGUGCAAGCGUUAAUCGGAAUUACUGGGCGUAAAGCGUGCGCAGGCGGUUAUAUAAGACAGAUGUGAAAUCCCCGGGCUCAACCUGGGAACUGCAUUUGUGACUGUAUAGCUAGAGUACGGCAGAGGGGGAUGGAAUUCCGAGUGUAGCAGUGAAAUGCGUAGAUAUGCGGAGGAACACCGAUGGCGAAGGCAAUCCCCUGGGCCUGUACUGACGCUCAUGCACGAAAGCGUGGGGAGCAAACAGGAUUAGAUACCCGAGUAGUCCCUGUCUCUUAUAA
rnacentral:rRNA from 1 species